rnacentral:rRNA from 1 species
UUAAGCGACUAAGCGUACACGGUGGAUGCCCUGGCAGUCAGAGGCGAUGAAGGACGUGCUAAUCUGCGAUAAGCGUCGGUAAGGUGAUAUGAACCGUUAUAACCGGCGAUUUCCGAAUGGGGAAACCCAGUGUGAUUCGUCACACUAUCAUUAACUGAAUCCAUAGGUUAAUGAGGCGAACCGGGGGAACUGAAACAUCUAAGUACCCCGAGGAAAAGAAAUCAACCGAGAUUCCCCCAGUAGCGGCGAGCGAACGGGGAGCAGCCCAGAGCCUGAAUCAGUGUGUGUGUUAGUGGAAGCGUCUGGAAAGGCGUGCGAUACAGGGUGACAGCCCCGUACACAAAAAUGCACAUACUGUGAGCUCGAUGAGUAGGGCGGGACACGUGGUAUCCUGUCUGAAUAUGGGGGGACCAUCCUCCAAGGCUAAAUACUCCUGACUGACCGAUAGUGAACCAGUACCGUGAGGGAAAGGCGAAAAGAACCCCGGCGAGGGGAGUGAAAAAGAACCUGAAACCGUGUACGUACAAGCAGUGGGAGCACGCUUAGGCGUGUGACUGCGUACCUUUUGUAUAAUGGGUCAGCGACUUAUAUUCUGUAGCAAGGUUAACCGAAUAGGGGAGCCGAAGGGAAACCGAGUCUUAACUGGGCGUUAAGUUGCAGGGUAUAGACCCGAAACCCGGUGAUCUAGCCAUGGGCAGGUUGAAGGUUGGGUAACACUAACUGGAGGACCGAACCGACUAAUGUUGAAAAAUUAGCGGAUGACUUGUGGCUGGGGGUGAAAGGCCAAUCAAACCGGGAGAUAGCUGGUUCUCCCCGAAAGCUAUUUAGGUAGCGCCUCGUGAAUUCAUCUCCGGGGGUAGAGCACUGUUUCGGCAAGGGGGUCAUCCCGACUUACCAACCCGAUGCAAACUGCGAAUACCGGAGAAUGUUAUCACGGGAGACACACGGCGGGUGCUAACGUCCGUCGUGAAGAGGGAAACAACCCAGACCGCCAGCUAAGGUCCCAAAGUCAUGGUUAAGUGGGAAACGAUGUGGGAAGGCCCAGACAGCCAGGAUGUUGGCUUAGAAGCAGCCAUCAUUUAAAGAAAGCGUAAUAGCUCACUGGUCGAGUCGGCCUGCGCGGAAGAUGUAACGGGGCUAAACCAUGCACCGAAGCUGCGGCAGCGACGCUUAUGCGUUGUUGGGUAGGGGAGCGUUCUGUAAGCCUGUGAAGGUGUACUGUGAGGUAUGCUGGAGGUAUCAGAAGUGCGAAUGCUGACAUAAGUAACGAUAAAGCGGGUGAAAAGCCCGCUCGCCGGAAGACCAAGGGUUCCUGUCCAACGUUAAUCGGGGCAGGGUGAGUCGACCCCUAAGGCGAGGCCGAAAGGCGUAGUCGAUGGGAAACAGGUUAAUAUUCCUGUACUUGGUGUUACUGCGAAGGGGGGACGGAGAAGGCUAUGUUGGCCGGGCGACGGUUGUCCCGGUUUAAGCGUGUAGGCUGGUUUUCCAGGCAAAUCCGGAAAAUCAAGGCUGAGGCGUGAUGACGAGGCACUACGGUGCUGAAGCAACAAAUGCCCUGCUUCCAGGAAAAGCCUCUAAGCAUCAGGUAACAUCAAAUCGUACCCCAAACCGACACAGGUGGUCAGGUAGAGAAUACCAAGGCGCUUGAGAGAACUCGGGUGAAGGAACUAGGCAAAAUGGUGCCGUAACUUCGGGAGAAGGCACGCUGAUAUGUAGGUGAAGUCCCUCGCGGAUGGAGCUGAAAUCAGUCGAAGAUACCAGCUGGCUGCAACUGUUUAUUAAAAACACAGCACUGUGCAAACACGAAAGUGGACGUAUACGGUGUGACGCCUGCCCGGUGCCGGAAGGUUAAUUGAUGGGGUUAGCGCAAGCGAAGCUCUUGAUCGAAGCCCCGGUAAACGGCGGCCGUAACUAUAACGGUCCUAAGGUAGCGAAAUUCCUUGUCGGGUAAGUUCCGACCUGCACGAAUGGCGUAAUGAUGGCCAGGCUGUCUCCACCCGAGACUCAGUGAAAUUGAACUCGCUGUGAAGAUGCAGUGUACCCGCGGCAAGACGGAAAGACCCCGUGAACCUUUACUAUAGCUUGACACUGAACAUUGAGCCUUGAUGUGUAGGAUAGGUGGGAGGCUUUGAAGUGUGGACGCCAGUCUGCAUGGAGCCGACCUUGAAAUACCACCCUUUAAUGUUUGAUGUUCUAACGUUGACCCGUAAUCCGGGUUGCGGACAGUGUCUGGUGGGUAGUUUGACUGGGGCGGUCUCCUCCUAAAGAGUAACGGAGGAGCACGAAGGUUGGCUAAUCCUGGUCGGACAUCAGGAGGUUAGUGCAAUGGCAUAAGCCAGCUUGACUGCGAGCGUGACGGCGCGAGCAGGUGCGAAAGCAGGUCAUAGUGAUCCGGUGGUUCUGAAUGGAAGGGCCAUCGCUCAACGGAUAAAAGGUACUCCGGGGAUAACAGGCUGAUACCGCCCAAGAGUUCAUAUCGACGGCGGUGUUUGGCACCUCGAUGUCGGCUCAUCACAUCCUGGGGCUGAAGUAGGUCCCAAGGGUAUGGCUGUUCGCCAUUUAAAGUGGUACGCGAGCUGGGUUUAGAACGUCGUGAGACAGUUCGGUCCCUAUCUGCCGUGGGCGCUGGAGAACUGAGGGGGGCUGCUCCUAGUACGAGAGGACCGGAGUGGACGCAUCACUGGUGUUCGGGUUGUCAUGCCAAUGGCACUGCCCGGUAGCUAAAUGCGGAAGAGAUAAGUGCUGAAAGCAUCUAAGCACGAAACUUGCCCCGAGAUGAGUUCUCCCUGACUCCUUGAGAGUCCUGAAGGAACGUUGAAGACGACGACGUUGAUAGGCCGGGUGUGUAAGCGCAGCGAUGCGUUGAGCUAACCGGUACUAAUGAACCGUGAGGCUUAACCU